ACCCGCUGAACUUAAGCAUAUCAAUAAGCGGAGGAAAAGAAACUAACAAGGAUUCCCCUAGUAACUGCGAGUGAAGCGGGAAAAGCUCAAAUUUAAAAUCUGGCUGUCUUCGGCAGUCCGAGUUGUAAUCUAGAGAAGUGUUAUCCGCGUUGGACCGUGUACAAGUCUCCUGGAAUGGAGCAUCAUAGAGGGUGAGAAUCCCGUCUUUGACACGGACUACCAGUGCUUUGUGAUGCGCUCUCAAAGAGUCGAGUUGUUUGGGAAUGCAGCUCAAAAUGGGUGGUAAAUUCCAUCUAAAGCUAAAUAUUGGCGAGAGACCGAUAGCGAACAAGUACCGUGAGGGAAAGAUGAAAAGAACUUUGGAAAGAGAGUUAAACAGUACGUGAAAUUGCUGAAAGGGAAACGCUUGAAGUCAGUCACGUUGGCUAGAAAUCAACCUUGCUUUUGCUGGGCGUACUUUCUGGUUAACGGGUCAGCAUCAAUUUUGACCGUUGGAAAAAGUUCAGAGGAAUGUGGCAUCUUCGGAUGUGUUAUAGCCUCUGUUCGCAUACAAUGGUUGGGAUUGAGGAUCUCAGCACGCCGCAAGGCCGGGUUUCGACCACGUUCGUGCUUAGGAUGCUGGCAUAAUGGCUUUAAUCGACCCGUCUUGAAACACGG
rnacentral:rRNA from 1 species